rnacentral:rRNA from 1 species
GUAAUAAUCCUGUAGUCGAAAAUGUUGUCUCUCUUGAGUGGAUCCUGAGUACGACGGAGCACGUGAAAUUCCGUCGGAAUCUGGGAGGACCAUCUCCUAAGGCUAAAUACUCUCUAGUGACCGAUAGUGAACCAGUACCGUGAGGGAAAGGUGAAAAGCACCCCGGAAGGGGAGUGAAAUAGAACCUGAAACCGUGUGCUUACAAGUAGUCAGAGCCCGUUAAUGGGUGAUGGCGUGCCUUUUGUAGAAUGAACCGGCGAGUUACGAUUUGAUGCAAGGUUAAGCAGUAAAUGUGGAGCCGUAGCGAAAGCGAGUCUGAAUAGGGCGUUUAGUAUUUGGUCGUAGACCCGAAACCAGGUGAUCUACCCUUGGUCAGGUUGAAGUUCAGGUAACACUGAAUGGAGGACCGAACCGACUUACGUUGAAAAGUGAGCGGAUGAACUGAGGGUAGCGGAGAAAUUCCAAUCGAACCUGGAGAUAGCUGGUUCUCUCCGAAAUAGCUUUAGGGCUAGCCUCAAGUGAUGAUUAUU